rnacentral:rRNA from 1 species
GUGGCGGACGGGUUAGUAACACGUGAGAACCUACCCUUUAGACAGGAAUAGCCCAUGGAAACGUGGAUUAAUGCCUGAUAGUCUCUACGGAGUAAAUGGUGCCUCCGGGUAUCGCUAAAGGAUGGGCUCGCGGCCUAUCAGCUUGUUGGUGAGGUAAAGGCUCACCAAGGCGACGACGGGUAGCUGGUCUGAGAGGACGAUCAGCAACACUGGAACUGAGACACGGUCCAGACACCUACGGGUGGCAGCAGUCGAGAAUCAUUCACAAUGGAGGCAACUCUGAUGGUGCAACGCCGCGUGGAGGAUGACGGUCCUAGGAUUGUAAACUCCUGUCAUUGGGGAGUAAGACUUAAGCGUUAAGAGCGUUUAAGUUUGAUAGU